UACGAAGGAUGCAAGCGUUAUCCGGAUUUAUUGGGUUUAAAGGGUGCGUAGGCGGCGCGGAUAGUCGGCGGUGAAAGCCCGGAGCUCAACUCCGGGUCGGCCGUCGAUACUUCCGGGCUUGAGCACUGUAGAGGCAGAUGGAAUUCCGGGUGUAGCGGUGGAAUGCGUAGAGAUCCGGAAGAACACCGGUGGCGAAGGCGGUCUGCUGGGCAGUUGCUGACGCUGAUGCGCGACAGCGUGGGGAGCAAACAGG
rnacentral:rRNA from 1 species